rnacentral:lncRNA from 1 species
GCUCAACAAAUACUUGGCAAACCCAAGAAACCCAACUUUAAACCAAUAUAAUUGCAGUACAAAUUACAAGAAAACUAGAUACAAUACCAAUCAAAGAUUUUAUUUAAGUGGAAGAAGAAGAAGCUUCAAACCCAAUGGCCAGCAGUUCUGUUACCAUAAUGUAGAGACUUGGAACUCAAUAAUGUAAUAAACAAUUCGUAUGUCAAAAUAGUAUUUUGCCUCCUAAUUGCCUUGGAAAGUUUAUUG